rnacentral:rRNA from 1 species
UACGUAGGGCGCAAGCGUUGUCCGGAAUUAUUGGGCGUAAAGAGCUCGUAGGCGGUCUGUCGCGUCCGUUGUGAAAACUCGAGGCUCAACCUCGGGCUUGCAGUGGAUACGGGCAGACUAGAGUGUGGUAGGGGAGACUGGAAUUCCUGGUGUAGCGGUGAAAUGCGCAGAUAUCAGGAGGAACACCGAUGGCGAAGGCAGGUCUCUGGGCCACUACUGACGCUGAGAAGCGAAAGCAUGGGGAGCGAACAGG